ensembl:lncRNA
AAGAGUUUUCUGAGCAGUAAAUGCAAUAAAUGAUCAUGCUGUGGGAAUUGCAAGCAAGGUUAAAGCACCAUUACCCACCGGGCUUAGUGACAGUGACAAUAUAAACCAAAGUUCUUCGCAUGGAAGGAUUAACUUCCCCCUUUGGGGCUAGGUCAUAUGACCAAUGUAAUAGAAGACACUCUCGAACUUUAAUCAUAAUUAAACCACUGCCACAAAGAUAUUUCUACUUAUUACUGGAAAUUGUAUUAUGAUUUAACUCCCCUGACAUCAUUUCACUAAACCACUACAGCAUUAGGUUUAUUAAAAUGUGGGAUAUUUAGCAGCUACAUUUAUUCAAAUAAUCUGUAGUGUAGUGGGGGGGGGGGCAGUGAAGCCUGAAGGUGGCUAUUUUAGACAACUAUUAAAGACAAUUUGUAACAACAGUAAAUUCCUUAGUUUUAAAAAUCAAUACCAAGGAAUAAUAAGGCUACAUUUUAAAUGUGAUGUCCAGAUACAACCUUCUAAGGACAACUGGGGUUUUCUCCCAAGCCUGAUCAUCAACGUGGCAGCCAUUAUUUAUGUUGCUUACUAACUCUCAGUAGAAGUUAGAUAAACCUUUACUUAGCUUCAUAUCCAAACGCUGAUGGACAUAAAUAUAAUUCUACCCCCCCCCUUUCUGGCUCUUACAUCAAUGGAAUUAUUGUGCAUAUUCAUCUGCCAUGGAUAGGAGGCUCUCUCCCUAAAGCAGUUCCUACACUCCUUUAAAUAUAUGCUAUUCCUAUUUAUCUCUUUGAAGAAGAAUGAAUCACAUCUGCUGCUUGCAGCUAUCAAAACGUAAUUUCAUCAAGCAGGCUCAGGAAUGUACACAUUUCCACAGCUCUACACUAGGAGGCAAGUUUUCCCCACACACCAGCCUGCUUCACUCUUAGCUGAAUCGUGUGUAACCAAAAGAUGUUUUGCAGCUUACCGCCAUUGUCAGACAGUUUCCUUACAUCACAGUUAAGAAAAAGCAACACACAUACCAAUGUUAGGCUGAAAUCCUUCACACGGGCUUCUGAUACUGUACUGAGAGCCUAAUGUUGAUUUAAAAGUGGUUACAGAUAUUAAAAUAGCGUAUUUCCAAAGUUAUUCACAUAAUGGUCUCAACAUGAUUUCCCCUCACUAAUUUGAUUACCAGAUAUGUAAAAUCAUAACACUGGAUUGUUUCAGAUGGCCAUUUCAGUAGUGAACAAAAGUUAUGUGUGAAUAAUAAUAAUAAUAAUAAUAAUAAUAAUUUAUUUGUACCCCACCCAUCUGGCUAGUAAUUAUUAUUAUUAUUAGUAGUAGUAGUAGUAGUACCCUCGCCCAUCUGACUGAGUUGCCCCAGCCACUCUGGGUAGCUUCCAACAUAUUCCAAAAACAUCCCUUCAAGCUACCAGCAUGAGUCUGACCAAACUGCGGGAGGCAGUGGAAGACAGAAGUGCCUGGUGUGCUCUGGUCCAUGGGGUCACGAAGAGUCAGACACAACGACUAAACAACAACAAGAAAACUUAGGACAUGCUCAUGAAGUUAACAUGCACUUCUGGGUUUGACAUGCUUGUAAUCCAAAACGUAUGAAAACCAAGGUACCACUCUAUUAGGAACACCACACUUAGUUCUUAUUAAGUUAUCGCCACCAGUAGUAUAUAUGUAGAGUCAGGCGUGCCCAAACUUUUUUCACAGAGGGCCAGAUUUGAUGAAGUGAACACAUGAGUGAGGGCUGACCAAAGUUGUUGUUGACCUUUUUUUAGAAUUUUACCCAAGGAAAUAGUCUGCCACAGGGGCCAGAUUAAACUGGCCAGCGGGCCAAAUGAGGCCCCCGAAACGGACUUUGGACAUGCCUGGUGUAGACCAGUAGAGUUAAUUUGGGUAUAGGAAAUUGCUACACCCAGUCCAUGGUGCCUUUCAUCUGACUUGUGGCCUCUCCUGUUAGGCACCACCCCUUUCUCUGAGUACAGUGGUACCUCGGGUUAAGAACUUAAUUCGUUCCGGAGGUCCGUUCUUUACCUGAAACUGUUCUUAACCUGAAGCACCACUUUGGCUAAUGGGGCCUCCCGCUGCCACUGCGCCACCAGAGCAUGAUUUCUGUUCUCAUCGGGAAGCAAAGUUCUUAACCCGAGGUACUAUUUCUUGCUUAGCAGAGUCUGUAACCUGAAGCGUCUGUAACCCGAGGUACCACUGUAGCUGCCUCCCUGGGGGUGGCACAUCCCAUUUUGCUACAGCCUGCCACCUCCCCCUUGCUGU